rnacentral:rRNA from 1 species
GUGGAGCAUGUGGCUUAAUUUGACUCAACGCGGGGAAUCUUACUAGGUCCGGACCGAGUCUAUGAACGUCGUACCGUUGGGUGCUACGUGAUUACUGGAUGAGUGGUGCAUGGCCGUUCUUAGUUCGUGGUGUUAAUUGUCUACUUAAUUGUUAUCGUUCCCGUAUCUCACGGUACGGAGCGCAUAACGAACGAGAUCGAGACCCGUGGUUUACGUCUUAGGUUAUUUGUGUACGACGUUUAAACUACRGGGAUCGCGUAAUACUCAACGGUACGAUCGAAAGACUCGGCAAUAACAGGUCUGUGAUGCCCUCAGAUGUUCUAGGCUGCACACGUGCUACAUUGUGAGUUGUAGUAUAUUGUGUAUGCGUAGAUAUGUCUAAGAUCCCCCGCAYCGAGUCAAUUACUCACGUGGUUGGACUCACCGAUUGUAAUAAUUAUUCGGUAUACUAA